CGGACGGGUGAGUAACGCGUGAGAAUCUGCCUUCAGGUCGGGGACAACCACUGGAAACGGUGGCUAAUACCCGAUGUGCGCAACGUGAAAGAUUUAUCGCCUGAAGAGGAGCUCGCGUCUGAUUAGCUAGUUGGUGAGGUAAAAGCUCACCAAGGCGACGAUCAGUAGCUGGUCUGAGAGGAUGAUCAGCCACACUGGGACUGAGACACGGCCCAGACUCCUACGGGAGGCAGCAGUGGGGAAUUUUCCGCAAUGGGCGAAAGCCUGACGGAGCAAGACCGCGUGAGGGAGGAAGGCUCUUGGGUUGUAAACCUCUUUUCUCAGGGAAGAACACAAUGACGGUACCUGAGGAAUCAGCCUCGGCUAACUCCGUGCCAGCAGCCGCGGUAAUACGGAGGAGGCAAGCGUUAUCCGGAAUUAUUGGGCGUAAAGCGUCCGUAGGUGGUCAUGUAAGUCGGUCGUCAAAGCACAGGGCUUAACCCUGUAAUGGCGGUGGAAACUGCACGACCAGAGAGAGGUAGGGGUAGAGGGAAUUCCCAGUGUAGCGGUGAAAUGCGUAGAGAUUGGGAAGAACAUCGGUGGCGAAAGCGCUCUACUGGACCUCAUCUGACGCUGAUGGACGAAAGCUAGGGGAGCGAAUGGGAUUAGAUACCCCAGUAGUC
rnacentral:rRNA from 1 species